rnacentral:lncRNA from 1 species
UGAGAAGAAGAGUACUUUAGAAGUGACUGGACAGGCAGGAUUAUAUUAACCAUCAUAAGUUUCUUGAUGCGGCAAGAGAUCUAUAGAUAAGAAAAAAAAGGCAAAGCUGUUGUAAAUGAGAAAGACAUAGGAUCAGCUCACUCAAGCUUGGAGUUGACAGCUACUGCUCUAGUUAUAAUAAAAGCAAAGAUUUGAAGCUUUAAGGGAUCAGCUCACUUAGGUUUG